rnacentral:lncRNA from 1 species
CUUUGUUCCAGUCUUAGCACCCGUGGUACCCUUCCUCUUUGGCUGGCUGGACUGGGUGGCAUCGGCACCUUGAUGUGUGACCUUUGCCGAUGCACUGGUUUGCUGCAAUAACGAACAAGGGUUUAUAAGUAUAAAUAAAGCCGAUAUAAAGAUAGUCAGCGUAAAAGAUAAAGAUUUGACAAAUUGCCUUGAAAGCCCGCGCCAGAGUGGGAGCAGCUACCGUUGGUGAUGUCUGGGUUCUCCUGGUUGUAACUUUCCUGAGGCGCGCACCCCGAUGCACGAUGGAAGCCAGAGUGGGAGCAUUGUGGCCGAUUGAGGAAAUCGGGCCUGAUGGAAACAAGUGGAUCGGCUUGCCACUCCUGCUAACCGAUGGAGGAAUAUUGUCAACCUGCAAAAGGAAUACAAGGGUAAGCUGCCGAUGGAAGUAAUAGUGAGAAAAUG